rnacentral:rRNA from 1 species
CAGAAGAAGCACCGGCUAACUCCGUGCCAGCAGCCGCGGUAAUACGGAGGGUGCGAGCGUUAAUCGGAAUUACUGGGCGUAAAGCGCAUGCAGGUGGUUUGUUAAGUCAGAUGUGAAAGCCCGGGGCUCAACCUCGGAAUAGCAUUUGAAACUGGCAGACUAGAGUACUGUAGAGGGGGGUAGAAUUUCAGGUGUAGCGGUGAAAUGCGUAGAGAUCUGAAGGAAUACCGGUGGCGAAGGCGGCCCCCUGGACAGAUACUGACACUCAGAUGCGAAAGCGUGGGGAGCAAACAGGAUUAGAUACCCUGGUAGUCCACGCCGUAAACGAUGUCUACUUGGAGGUUGUGGCCUUGAGCCGUGGCUUUCGGAGCUAACGCGUUAAGUAGACCGCCUGGGGAGUACGGUCGCAAGAUUAAAACUCAAAUGAAUUGACGGGGGCCCGCACAAGCGGUGGAGCAUGUGGUUUAAUUCGAUGCAACGCGAAGAACCUUACCUACUCUUGACAUCC